ensembl:snRNA U6 U6 spliceosomal RNA
GUUUUUACUACUUGCUUUGGCAGAACAUUCACUAAAAUUGGAAUGAUACAGAAAAAGAUAAGCAUGGCCCCUGCUCACAGAUGACAUGAAAAUUCAUGAAGCAUUCCAUAUUUAG